GUCCAAAAAAUCAUGGAUCAAGAUGAUGUCGACCUUUAGAAGAUCGAUGGAAAGGAGAACCUGACCGACCCUUUCACUAAAGCCCUCGCAAUAAAGGAGUUUGACAACCACAAGUCGAAAAUGGGUAUUAGAUACUAUGCCGAGUGGCUUUAGGACAAGUGAGAGUUGUUGGAAAAUAAAUCCCAAAAGCCAAUCAUCAAGCUGUUGACGGUUGAGCAACCAAGUAUUGUAAUCGAUU
rnacentral:lncRNA from 1 species